AUCUAAUGAUGUGGGCAGCUCGCACAUAAUCUUUUAAAUCGCUCCCAAUAUUCAUACAAUAUUUCUCCAUUAUUUUGCUGAAUACCACAUAUCUCCUUCCUUAUGUU